rnacentral:rRNA from 1 species
CGGUCCAGACUCCUACGGGAGGCAGCAGUAGGGAAUCUUCCGCAAUGGGCGAAAGCCUGACGGAGCAACGCCGCGUGAGUGAUGAAGGUCUUCGGAUCGUAAAGCUCUGUUGUUAGGGAAGAACAAAUGUGUAAGUAACUGUGCACGUCUUGACGGUACCUAACCAGAAAGCCACGGCUAACUACGUGCCAGCAGCCGCGGUAA